rnacentral:rRNA from 1 species
UACGUAGGGUGCAAGCGUUAUCCGGAGUUACUGGGCGUAAAGCGCGGGCAGGCGGCUCGAAACGUCUGAUGUGAAAUCUCCUCGCUCAACGGGGAGAGGCCAUUGGAAACGGUCGAGCUGGAGGGCAGUAGAGGUAGGCGGAAUUCCGGGUGGAGUGGUGAAAUGCGUAGAGAUCCGGAGGAACACCAGAGGCGAAGGCGGCCUACUGGGCUGCACCUGACGCUGAGCCGCGAAAGCCAGGGGAGCGAACGGG